ensembl:lncRNA
UUCGGCAACCUACAUCUCAGUGACCAAUCGUAUGUUCUACAGACUGUCAUGUGACACAAAGCCCCGCCCCAUUUGUGGAAUCAUUGAGAGCGCGAGUGGAACUACAGCGAUUCAGCGGUGACCGGCGCAGAUCCAACCAGCUGGAGGAUCCGGAGAGAUUUCUGAGGCGAUACGAACGCUCCUUACGUGGACUGGCUUCCUUUAUUUCUUCUUAAGAUUUUGAAGAAGAGGCUGUGCAGGACAGUAGAAGCUGUUGAAGUUUUGACUGUGGGUUUGCACUCUCCCUCUCACCCACGCUCUGUCUCCAAAAGCUGCAGAGGUUUCGCUGAGAUGGCAAAAACGCGUCGCGACGCAGGAACCGAUAUAAACUGUCAGCCUCCAAGAACACCAACACACGCACAUCUUGUCUUCAUUGGACCUCCAACGAGGGCUGAUUGGGUUAACUGGUUUUCCAGCCCCCUUCUCCAUUUCCAACUUAAAAGUUGAACCUCAUGGCACCUGCGGCACUGUGAGAACAUAUCAGGGAAGCUUCACUUUCAUCUCAUCAGACCGUCUGGCAUGCCGUCACUGUCCAGCGGCGCAUCUCACUGAAACAGCUGCACAGCUUCAAAAGAGUGCCUUGUCUUCAGUGAUCCUUCACAGCACAGCAAAGGCAAGAGAGAUGCCA